GAAAUAAAACUCAAUGAAAGACAAGUCUCGCCAUUCAGACACAAGACGUAUGAGGUUGCUGUGGUUUCAUGUUGUCAACAUUAGGAACAUAUCAGGAGACUUGUCUUUUGAAGCAGAGUCACUUCUGACUGCAUCUGCGUCCAUCAGAUGGAUGUUUACUGCUGAGGGGUUGACGUGGAGCAGAUCAAAUGUGUUUAACUUGGCAUUGAACACACUGGCAGGAUGGCAAACUGAGAGCUGGAAUUGUUUGCAGUGCCCAGCUGCCCACCCAUACUUAGCACGAAAAAACACGCAAAACCGGGCUGGCAGGCCUGACUGCACCUAAGAAGAUUGUAGUCCAGCGUUGGAAACCUCCCCAUGAUAUUUCAAAUACUCACUGGCUUCGGAGCUUUUUGGACAUUUCUUACCAGGAAUUAUCAUCAGCAAGAGUAAAUGAUGCACGACCAAACACAAUC